rnacentral:ncRNA from 1 species
GCAGGCGGCUCUCCACCUUUCAGCCGUCUGUGACGAAAAAAGGAGGAAAAGGACAGGGCCCGGGGCUCGGGCUGCGGCAGUGUGGAGACCUGCCGCAAAGCGGCGCAGUCCAUCGCGGCUGGCCGUGAGCACACAGCAAGCGGAGGCUCUGUGUGCGGAGCCGGAAAACAUGGCA